UGCGUAGGGGGCUAGCGUUGUCCGGAAUCAUUGGGCGUAAAGAGCGUGUAGGCGGCCCGGUAAGUCCGCUGUGAAAGUCGGGGGCUCAACCCUCGAAUGCCGGUGGAUACUGUCGGGCUAGAGUGCGGAAGAGGCGAGUGGAAUUCCUGGUGUAGCGGUGAAAUGCGCAGAUAUCAGGAGGAACACCGAUUGCGAAGGCAGCUCGCUGGGACGUUACUGACGCUGAGACGCGAAAGCGUGGGGAGCAAACAGG
rnacentral:rRNA from 1 species